GCCAAUUUUUGCCAGAGAGUUACCUGCGGAGGAGGCUAGAAUCACUUUAGAGUAGCCCGCUCUGGAAGACCCAAGGAUAGCCAACUCAGCCUGUGAGUUUUGGACAUCAGAUCACUUCAGAGCAGCGUAAAUCCAAGAACAUGUACUUCUGUAUCAUAUAAUUAAAGGCUAGAUCACUUGUUACUUUGAGAUUUAAAUGAAUUCUAAUUACAUUAUAGUCUUAAUUAAAGCCAGUUACAGACGCGCAAGUGUUUAUAUGGCAGGGUUUUUUUUGCCAAGUGCACGUGUAUACAGUAUGUGGAACAAAUGUUCUAUGACAAGUUUUUGGUUUUCUGACCACCACGAUAGCUGCAUGUUAUCCAGGUUAUCCAUUACAACAAUAGAUAGCUGUGUUGGUGUAGUGUACUCAGGUGAAUAUCAUAUUCACCUGAGUACACUACACCAACACAGAAAAAAAUCAUAUUACUAGAAUACAUUGAUAUCGAAGGAACUAGAUUCUGUUCCGAAAUAUCACUUACUCGAACCGUCCUGACCGCGUAGCUCAGUUGGAAGAGCAUUGGGCUAGUAUUCCAAAGGUCGUAGGUUCGAAUCCCACCGUGGCCGGGCAUAUUUUUCAAGCUCGCCCGGUGUGGAUAUACACUCAGAGUAACACCACAAAUAUUAUAAUAGAUAGCUGACCAACUUCACAAUCACACACCAAGCUUUCUAGUUAUAUGCCAAUCUGCGUAAUGGUCAACACUGAAUGUGUAAUGAAUGAUUGCAGCUAUAGACUACAUUUUGAUACAGACAAGAAGGACAAGAUCUAUCAUAUUAUAGCUUGAAAGAGCAUCCUUAAAUUAGUAAAAUUGCCAAAUUUGGUUGCAAAAUGUUGUAAAAUAUAGCCCUGUGGAAAUUAGCAAAUUUUGAGUAUUUUAGUAUUUAAACGCGGGAAAAUGCACCAUGCACUACUUUUGAGCGAUCGUGACUAAAACACCACACGAGUACAUACGAGUAACAUACGAGUACAUACGAGUAACAUACGAGUACAUACGAGUAACAUACGAGUACAUACGAGUAACACACGAGUACAUACGAGUAAAAUACAAGUACAUACGAGUACAUACGAGUAGAAUACGAGUAAAAUACGAGUAGAAUACGAGUAAAAUACGAGUAGUAAACUUGUUUUUAGUGUUUGUAGAUUGAAUACAGGCAAAAAGAUCGUCUUCUCUGUCGAAAAACGUGGAAUGGGGGAACGGGCAAUGGGGAAAUGGGGGAAAGGGCAAUGGAGGAAUGGGGGAACGGGGAAUGGGAGAACGGGGAAUGCGGGAACGAGGGGGGGACAGGGGAAUUAUGAAUUAUUAUUAAUACGUAAUAUUAAUCAUAUGUACGGGGGGAAAAAGAACAGAAAAAAGAAACAGAAAUUCGAAAGGAUAAACGGGAAUCGGGGAAUUACGAAACUAUAAAACGGACUCUGGUGUCUUGGGAAUUAGAAAACCGCUCAAUGAAUUAAAACUAGUAAAGAAAUUUAGCGAAGCUUUAUUAUUAUUAUUAUUAUUAUUAUUAUUAAAACUUAUUUACAAACAAUAACCCUUCAGCCUACGCUGCUUUUAAAGGGGUUGUUUACAUAAAAGAAAGUACAAAAUAAAUAUUUACAAAAUAGUAUAAGUAUUUACAAAAUAGUGUAAUUGACUAGGAGUCUUUACAAUUGGAUAUUUUAUCAACGUAGGUGAUUGUUGAGCUUAGUUUUAAAAGAAUGUAUAGUCAACUGUUCGUGAACGUCUAAGAUUUCGUUAGGUAAUGAGUUCCAGGCGGAAGCUCCUCGAUAUGAAAAUGACUUUUUCAUAAAUGAUCUAUUAGAUUUAUCGAGAGUUAGUUUCCGCCCGUUGCUCCGCAUGUGGUGACUUCUAUUAUCACAGUAGGAGAACAUAUUACAGAUGCACUCCGGCGCUAUACCUCGGAUAGCCUUAAACGUAAUUAGAAAUUCUCUUUUUUUAAGAAUGUUAUCUAUUGGAUGCCAAACUAGACUCUGGAGGAUUGUUUUUGAUCUUGUUUCAUAGUUUAAUCCAGUAAUUAUACGAGCGGCUCGCUUUUGUAAUUUAUAAAGUUUUUCCAAAUUUGUUUUGUUUCCAUCGUUCCAAACUGUCGAACAGUAUGUAAAGUAAGGAACUACCAGGGAAUUGUAAAUGCGGAGUAAGUCGUUGUAAGGUACGUGUGGUUUUGCCUUUCUAAGCAGAGCUAUUGCACUUGAAAGUUUUUUGCAUUGCUCAUUAAUGUGUUCAGUCCACCUUAGUUCGUUAUCAAUUGUAAUACCUAAGGGUUUUUUUUUUGCUUAACUUGUUUAAUAAUGGAUCCGUUUAUAUGUAUACGAAUAUCAGUGCGAUUAGUACAGCGUAUCAUAAAAAGGUCAAUCCACAUUGCUUAUGUCCGAUUAUUAAGUAAUAUUAAUAAUAUUGCUUAUGUCAUUACUAAUAUACUUGCUAUAUAAUAAAACAAACUUAAGGGCUAGAUGCAAGUCCAAGGCAGUCCUUAUGCUCCAUACGAUAUCUUAAAGUGAUUAUCCUAUUUUAAAUAUCUUACAAAGCAAAACUAACAAAACACAAAAUACUUCAAAAUACGCAAAUUUUAAGCUAGUAAUUUAAGUUGGCAAGUACGUUUCUAAAGGACCCAGCCGAACUCUCCUGCAAGCUUUUGGACGUGCUCCACCUUGAAAAGGGAAGGAAAGUCUGGAGGAACGAGAACGUCGCCAAGAAAGCUUGGAUACUUUGCUCUGAUGCAGGCUGAUCGGAAAUGAAAAUGCACGUUCUGAGGCUCACUUGAAAACUGGAUUUGUCCUGCAGGGCCUUUUUUAACAUAUAAGCUGGGGGGGUGGGGGCAUUUGACCCCCCCAGUCCCUCCUUGUGCCCCCCCCCACGAAAUCACAUUUUGCCCCCCCCCCAGAAAAAGUCCCUUUUUCCUAAAUUUAUACAAACAAACCAGCGAAGAAUAACAAAUUGAUAAACGGAACGUAAGUUUUAGGCUUUAUCCUUUGUCCUUGUUUAACAAAAUCGAUUUAAAGGACUGUGUCACCGCGUGCGCAUCCUACGUGUUUCUAACACUAAGUAAUGAUAAAUUAUUGUUAAUAUUUUUAAAAUUCUUUGUGCGUUUUUUCCUUCUUUUAUUUCAAAUAGAAGUAUAGUUAGGAUAAAUUUUAGAGCAAAUUUAGAUGCUCAGACGGCAGGAACUAAUGGCAUUUUUGGGCUUCAAAAUUUCAAAUUUCAAAAAUUUUCGGGGGAAGUAUGCCCCCAGACCCCCCUAUUCAUUCACGGUAUGUCGGCCACACACGUGACCCACGGCCAUUACUAUCCCCCUUUAAUAAUAAGUAAUGGAUAAAUUAUUGUUAAUAUUUCUUUUAUUUUUUCUGCAUUUUUUUCCUUCUUUUAUUUCAAAUACAAGUAUAAUUAGCAUAAAUUUUAGAGCAAAUUUAGAUGCUCAUAAAGCAGGAAAUGGCAUUUGAAAGGUUCAAAUUUAAAACAUUUUCUGGGGGAGUAUGUUGGCCACACACGUGGCCGUCGGCCAUUGCUAUCCCCCUCUAAUAUAUUAUCUGACAGAAAGAUCCCUUUUCAAAAAAUUCCCCCCACGGGAAAAUCCUUAAAAAAGGCCCUGUUGUCCUGUAUUUCGGUCUCGGAACUGUCGUAUGUCGUCACGGUAUAAGUUAACUGUGUAGUUCGUAUAUUUGCCUAGCCACAUAUUGUGAUUGAGGCUAUGUGAGGAUUGUAAGUUGAUCACCUAGUACUAUUUAAGUAUAGAUGCAGUUAGGUUAUGUGCAUGCUCACAGGGUUUUGAAAGCAAACCAUGCCGUGAAAUAUGUGAAGCCUAUGGUUUGUGUCAUGUAUCUAACUAUCUAGGUAGAAUACCUAAAAGUAGAUGUUGUACAAACUACAAAGUUGUGGUUUAU